rnacentral:rRNA from 1 species
AAUCGCAUGAUUUGGUGAGGAAAUGGAUUCCGCUUCGGGAGGGCCUCGCGGCCUAUCAGCUAGUUGGUGGGGUAACGGCCUACCAAGGCAUCGACGGGUAGCUGGUCUGAGAGGACGAUCAGCCACACUGGGACUGAGACACGGCCCAGACUCCUACGGGAGGCAGCAGUGGGGAAUCUUGCGCAAUGGGCGAAAGCCUGACGCAGCAACGCCGCGUGGGGGAUGAAGGCUCUCGGGUUGUAAACCCCUUUCAGCAGGGACGAAAAUAAGACGGUACCUGCAGAAGAAGCUCCGGCUAACUACGUGCCAGCAGCCGCGGUAACACGUAGGGGGCAAGCGUUGUCCGGAUUAUUGGCGUAAAGAGCUCGUAGGUGGCUGAGUAAGUCGGAUGUCAAAUCCCCAGGCUCAACCUGGGAUCCAUCCGAUACUGCUCUGGCUAGAGUCCGGUAGGGGAGCGUGAAUUCUGGUGUAGCGGUGAAAUGCGCAGAUAUACAGAAGGAACACCAAGC